rnacentral:rRNA from 1 species
GAGACUCUGUGCGCGUGCAUAUCAAUAAGCGGAGGAAAAGAAACUAACUAGGAUUCCCUCAGUAACGGCGAGUGAAGCGGGAAGAGCUCAAAUUUGAAAUCUUCAAGGUUUUACCUUGACGAAUUGUAGUUUAAAGAAGUGUUUUCUGUUGAAGUUUUGGUAAAAGUUCUUUGGAAUAGGAACAUCAUAGAGGGUGAGAAUCCCGUAUUUGACCAUUAUUUCAACUGUGUGAUACACUUUCAAAGAGUCGGAUUGUUUGGGAAUGCAGUCCAAAAUGGGUGGUAAAUUUCAUCUAAAGCUAAAUAUUGGCGAGAGACCGAUAGCGAACAAGUACCGUGAGGGAAAGAUGAAAAGAACUUUGAAAAGAGAGUUAAACAGUACGUGAAAUUGUCAAAAGGGAAGCGUUCGACACCAGUGUUGUUUAGUUCCGAAAAUCAAUUCACUAAUUUUUGAUUUUGAGUAGUUAUGACUUCAUCAGCUUGCUGCCUUUCUUUACAGAAACUUUCUUGAAUGCACUUUUCAGUUAACAAGUCAACAUCAAUUUCUUUUGUUGUAAAAGGGUAUGAGGAAGGUGGCUUUCUUCUCGGAGAAAGUGUUUAUAGCCUUGUGCCUCUGCAAUCGGAGAGAUUGAGGUCUGCAGCGUAGAUCCUUCGGGGUUAGAUACAUUUGUGCUAAGUUAUAGCUUUUCAUAGACAACUUGUUGACUAUGUUUAGUCUUGUAGCUUACUCGCUUACGCUAUUUUACCUACGCUUAGGAUGUUGAGUCGUAGAGCACGCA